GAGGGAUGAUGAUGGUCAGAAAGGUUUCGCUCACUGGUCUGAUCUCCUGUGAUGCUGCAUCCUCUUGGCUGUCUGACCAA